rnacentral:rRNA from 1 species
AUUGAACGCUGGCGGCAUGCCUUACACAUGCAAGUCGAACGGUAACGGGCCUUCGGGUGCCGACGAGUGGCGAACGGGUGAGUAAUGUAUCGGAACGUACCUUUCAGUGGGGGAUAACGUAGCGAAAGUUACGCUAAUACCGCAUAUUCUGUGAGCAGGAAAGCAGGGGAUCGCAAGACCUUGCGCUGAUUGAGCGGCCGAUAUCAGAUUAGCUAGUUGGUGAGGUAAAGGCUAACCAAGGCGACGAUCUGUAGCGGGUCUUAGAGGAUGAUCCGCCACACUGGACCUGAGACCCGGUCCAGACUCCUACGGGAGGCAGCAGUGGGGAAUUUUGGACAAUGGGGGCAACCCUGAUCCAGCCAUGCCGCGUGAGUGAAGAAGGCCUUCGGGUUGUAGAGCUCUUUCGGCCGGGAAGAAAUCGUAUCAGCUAAUACCUGGUGCGGAUGACGGUACCGGCAUAAGAAGCACCGGCUAACUACGUGCCAGCAGCCGCCGUAAAAC